rnacentral:rRNA from 1 species
CACGUAGGCACCAAGCGUUGUCCGGAUUUACUGGGCGUAAAGAGCGCGCAGGCGGUCGUUCAAGUCGAGUGUGAAAGCCCCCGGCUCAACUGGGGAGGGUCACUCGAUACUGAUCGACUUGAAGGCAGGAGAGGGAAGCGGAAUUCCCGGUGUAGUGGUGAAAUGCGUAGAUAUCGGGAGGAACACCAGUGGCGAAGGCGGCUUCCUGGCCUGUUCUUGACGCUGAGGCGCGAAAGCUAGGGGAGCAAACGGG